rnacentral:rRNA from 1 species
UGGAGCGGCGAACGGGUGAGUAACACGUGGGCAACCUGCCCUCAGCUCUGGGACAACUCCGGGAAACCGGGGCUAAUACCGGAUACGACUUUCGACCUCAUGGUCGUUGGUGGAAAGUUUUUCGGCUGAGGAUGGGCCCGCGGCCUAUCAGCUUGUUGGUGGGGUAAUGGCCUACCAAGGCGACGACGGGUAGCCGGCCUGAGAGGGCGACUGGCCACACUGGGACUGAGACACGGCCCAGACUCCUACGGGAGGCAGCAGUGGGGAAUAUUGCGCAAUGGGCGAAAGCCUGACGCAGCGACGCCGCGUGAGGGAUGAAGGCCUUCGGGUUGUAAACCUCUUUCAGCAGGGACGAAGCGAGAGUGACGGUACCUGCAGAAGAAGCACCGGCCAACUACGUGCCAGCAGCCGCGGUAAUACGUAGGGUGCAAGCGUUGUCCGGAAUUAUUGGGCGUAAAGAGCUCGUAGGCGG